GAAUGGCAUCACGAGGGUUAUACUGUCUCCUUUUUCUAAUCAGUGAAACUAAUCUUCCCGUGAAGAAGCGGGAAUAAGACUAUAAGACGAGAAGACCCUAUGGAGCUUUAAACAAAAUAACAAUUGCUUCUUUAUUUUAAAAUUCCAGAAAUUUAAGUAUUAUUCUAGCACUAUGAUUAUCAGUUUUAGGUUGGGGUGACCGCGGAGUAAAAAUUAACCUCCACAUUGAAAGGAUAUUUUCCUUAGCAAAAAGCUACAACUUUAUGCAUCAAUAAAUUGACAUUAAUUGACCCAAUAUUUUGAUCAACGAACCAAGUUACCCUAGGGAUAACAGCGCAAUCCACUUCAAGAGCUCCUAUCGACAAGUGG
rnacentral:rRNA from 1 species